UUAAUACUCCCUCCGUUCCCAAUUACUUGUCACAUGUAUGAAUGUAUCUAGAUGUAUUUUAGUUCUAGAUACAUCUAUUUCAGCGACGAGUAAUUUAGGAUGGAGGAAGUACUUC
rfam:Triticum aestivum genome assembly, contig: Triticum_aestivum_CS42_TGACv1_scaffold_132150_2BL